ACUCGACAAAGGACAUUUUUGUCCAAAAUUUUUUUAAACUAAUAGAAAAGUCCAAAACCCAAAACUAAAAAUCUCUUCUCCUUUUGCUGCACGUUCUUUUCUUCCGUUCUCCAGCGAUUUUCAGCAAUAAAGCUAAAAGAAUAAAAACGUUCUUUCCUUCUGUUCUCCAACCCAGAAACACCUGAACGAUAGAGUAAGCAUCGGCGGGCCUUGGCAGUGCGCGACCAACGGUGGCGUGAAUCGGGCGGCGGCUGCGAUGACGAGGUUAAUGAACCUUCGCCCUCCCAAAUCAAAAUCAUUUCGUUGUGUCUUUUAUUUUGCUUCUGUGAUUCAACUGAGGUUAGUGAGAAAGUGUUCACAAAGUUCAAGGAUUUUGAAAGAAACUCAAAGAAAAAAAUUCCUCCUGGCUCUCCGACCCAUGUUCUCUUCUCCAAUCGCUGCUUCAUCUCGCCUCAUCACAAGCUUUCGAUCCUCGUUGCUGACCUCCAAAACGUACGCGCUUCGAUUAUCUCACAUUCACUGAUUCUUCAGGUAGUAUUGGUUUAAAAUCUCAUAUGAUUAAGGCUGAGUUGAUGAUUUAAAUGCAUAUUUGCUUUGAUUGUGAUGGAUUGAAAUGAGUUGUUGGUUUAAACUUGUGUAUAAAGUACACCACACACCACGUGCUUGAUGGAAUGCCUAAACAAAAUACUCGUUUGCACUAGCUUAUUGGUUGCAUUCCACUUUAUGAUCUGUUGGCUUUCGUGAUACUACGGUUGUGUGUACAACUGUUGGCUGCGGGCAGUAGCUGAGGGAUGGUGAUCCGGUGACUAGAGUUGGAUGUCGGUGAAGCUGGAUUUAACACUCUAAUGAUUUGAAUCUUAGGAAAGUCCUUGGUGAGUGAUUUUUUGUUGAAAACUGAAGACUCUUUAUAGGUUCAAAAGAUAAGUGGUGAAAUAUUUUACUAACAGCCAGUGCCUGAACUUGUACAUGUUUUGAAUUUUGUGACCGACACAUCUCUCUCUCUUCUUUUGUUUGACAGAAACUUGGAGAAGGCGUCGAGGGUGUAUACAUAUCUAUAGGUGAUUAGUGCAGGACCACGGCAUCUGAAUACAUUGACUUGGUUUCGUUAUAGGUAGAAAUGGAGAUCCAUCAAACAUUUGCAGACCAAAUCAGGAGCAUUUAUCCAUUCCACCGAAUCAUUUUUAGGCUCUUGUGAAGAACAAGAUCAUUUGAAGCCUACCUUCAACAAAGUAAAAGGAGAGAAUAUAUUAUUAGGUGUUUUGAUAUUGUAUUAUCUUUAGGAAGAUGGGGGAGGGGUGUGAUUAGUUGUCGUUUGUGGACCGUGAUCAGUGGAGCUUUCUAUUGAGUAUAAUGAGGUGCACACAUAUUGAAGUUGUAAAUUCAUGUGUUGUUGUCUUUUUUUGUAAUGCAAAUAUUAAAGUUUAAUAAAUUCAAGUAUUUAAAGA